UACGGGGCGCGCGGGGGAGGAGGGGAGUCCUGGCCCGGCCCGUCCCGUCCCCUCCCCUCCCGGGUUGUGACCCCCCGGGUCCUUGGGCGCCAGUGGCCUGAUCCACCUGCAGGCCCCGUGCUGCCGCUGGAGCGGCCUGGGGGCGCCGCCCUGAGCACCCCAGUGUACCCCGCUCUGUGACUAGCCCCUUCCCCCAGCCGCUAGCGCCCAGCGGGGAGCUGCCCCGGGGUGGCAAUAGGUGAGUGGGAGCGGCUGGAAGCGGGGUGUCAUCUACGCUGAGCUGAUCCUCCGGGGCCAGCAAAUCCAGCCCGGCGCCUCAGCCCGAGGGAGUUACUGCUCUGUGGGGUAUCGCUGGCGAGGAAGGAGGGGGCCUGUCCCCGAAGAGCUGACAGUGAGGCCCCCGACAGCGACCUAGGGGUCAAGGAAGGAGAACAAAAGGGAUGGCUUUGUGGACAGACCCCUCAGCCAGCAGACUGUUCGUUUGCGGGCUGAAAUACCCCAGGCUGCCCCUCCACCAUGCCCUUGUUGAAGGGGGCACGGGGGCAUUUUAGAUAGCUCCAGUAUUGCCCCAGGGUUGUCCCACACAGGUUCUGAAGACAGUGCCCAUCUUCCCUCUGUAGGGCUCUUCCUCUAAGAGGCUCUGUUGGACCACCCUACUUCUCCAACAACAGUACUGCCUCUCAGAACUGCCAGCUGUCCAGGCACCUUGUCUUUGGCCCAAAGGCCUUCUGCAAAUAAAUUGGAGAGAGACUGAACAUCCAUGGGGUCCUCCGGCCUCCUGCUGCUCGAUCACAGAUAGGAGAAGAGGUUGUAUGUGCAUAAUGGUCAAUUUGUAAAUGAUCCAGUGCUUAAUCUUGAAAAACAUACAUCAUCCUUAUCUGUAGAUGAUCCACAAUAUAGCCUUAAUAGUGGCCUACCAUUUGAGCCCAUAGUAAGAGACUCUGGAGCCCAUAACCCCGGCAGUUACCCCUGGAAGUAUUAUGUAAGGUCAAGACAGUGAUCCAAAACCAACUGCCCAUUGGUUUGGUACCGAUCCAGUGGAGGAGUGUCAUCUGUAGAAUCACCAACACCACUUCCCACAUCACUCUGGAUGUUCCUUGGAAAUCCAACUUACUGCCAUUCAAGUACUGAACAGUCCAACCCUAAAGCUACAUAUUAACUGGAGUGGAUUUGUGGGAACAUCUUAUGGUCAACUUGGAAAACUACAUGCCUUUAUUCACAAAGGUGUGAAAUCCAGUCCUGUGUAGAGGGCCACUCCCAGGCCUUUGAACCAUUCAAGGUCACUUCCAGAUAGGCCCGAUGCUGAGGAACUGGUCUGGUGUGUGGAGGGAGAUGGAUUCAGUGUAUACUGUUGUGCAACAGAGGAAGUUAUAAUUUGUUUAAUAUUAUUAGUAGUAAAUAUGGUAAUAUCCAAGGCUGCAAUUGGGAUUGAGGCCCUAUUGUGCUGGGUGCUGUACAAUCACAAAAAAAAGAGAGUCGCAGCCCUGAAAGGUUUACGAUCUAAAGAUUUAGUGCUUACAAUAUGCUGGGAAAAGUACAAUUAACUAAAGAGGCUUUGACUCAGAAAAGCAGUGAAGCAGUAUCUACCGAAAUAGGAAGGAGAAUUAUGAGGAGGUAUUAGCUUACAUGGCUUUUGCUCUCCACCUCUUUUCUUAGAACAUUCACAAAAACAGGAAAAGAUUGCCUGAUUUCCUAAUUAAGGGCCCAAUUAUUCUGUCAGCUACACUGGUGUAAAUCUUGAGUAAUUCCUUUGGCUUCAGCAUAUUACUUUAAAUUUACAUUAAUGUAUUUGAGAAAAGAAUUUGGCCCUAAAAAGGACAGACAGGAAAUGCCUUUGAUGAUCAUCAGCUGAAUCCGGCUUUAUUGGCAUGACAAGCUGUUGAGUGUUGCCAAAGUGUAAGAAAAAGACAGGCCAUCAAUCAUCUGUCAGAGGCAGGUAUGAGACACCCAGAAUAGAGUUACACACUAGGUUUGGGAUCGGAUCCCCUGUGUCUGUCUAUCAUUACAGUCCUUUCCUGAUCUUGUAGCAGCAGGUUGCUGUAACAUGAAGCCAAAAUAGAAUAUCAUUUGGUUAUGAGCACUGGGAGAAUAUGUCAAUAUGAAAAUAUAUGAAGAGAAUAUGUAAAUUGACGAAGAGAAUACAUUAAGGAUCCAAACCUGCAGACCUUCUAAGGCCAUGUCUACGCUACAGUGACACAGUACAGCACUGCAGCUGUGCUGCUGUAGCACCCUAACGUAGAUGCUUCCUACGUCGACUGAAGGUUUUUUUUCUAUCAAUGUAGUUAAUCCAUUUCUCUGGGAAGCAGUAGCUAGGUCAACAGAAGAAUUCUUCCAUUCACCAAGUUGCAUCCACACUGAGGGUUAGGCUGACUUUACUGUAGUGCUCAGGGUGCAACAUUUUUCACAGCAUUGAGUGACGAUGAUCUCAUUUUUAAGUGUAGAGCAGGCCUAAGAAAACUAUUUUGGGCUUGAUCCUGCAUUCCUUUUGCAUCCAAAACUCAUAGAUGUUGUGGUAUUCUGAAAAUUGUGUUAAAAUUGUGAUAGCACUUUACAUUCCAUGGGGUUUUGCUAGGGCUCUGUAGGGAAGCAUGUGAUCAGAUUCUCUCUGUGUGUAGCCAGCCAGGCUAGAGUGACAAACAGGGUCAGCGUGAGCUGUGCCUCUGCAUUUUUAGGAAGCAGCCUGCUUUCUCUCUCUCUGAUUUUGGAUUCUUAUUUGUUAUUGUUCUGAAUUCUAAGAAUAAAGUAGUGUUUGUUACAAGCUUC